CGCGGCCUAUCAGCUUGUUGGUGAGGUAACGGCUCACCAAGGCGACGACGGGUAGCCGGCCUGAGAGGGUGACCGGCCACACUGGGACUGAGACACGGCCCAGACUCCUACGGGAGGCAGCAGUGGGGAAUAUUGCACAAUGGGCGCAAGCCUGAUGCAGCAACGCCGCGUGGGGGACGACGGCCUUCGGGUUGUAAACCUCUUUUAGCAGGGAAGAAGCGCAAGUGACGGUACCUGCAGAAAAAGCACCGGCUAACUACGUGCCAGCAGCCGCGGUAAUACGUAGGGUGCAAGCGUUGUCCGGAAUUAUUGGGCGUAAAGAGCUCGUAGGCGGUUUGUCGCGUCUGCUGUGAAAAUCCGAGGCUCAACCUCGGACCUGCAGUGGGUACGGGCAAACUAGAGUGCGGUAGGGGAGAUUGGAAUUCCUGGUGUAGCGGUGGAAUGCGCAGAUAUCGGGAGGAACACCAAUGGCGAAGGCAGAUCUCUGGGCCGUAACUGACGCUGAGGAGCGAAAGCGUGGGGAGCGAACAGGAUUAGAUACCCUGGUAGUCCACGCCGUAAACGGUGGGAACUAGAUGUGGGGUCCGUUCCACGGAUUCCGUGUCGCAGCUAACGCAUUAAGUUCCCCGCCUGGGGAGUACGG
rnacentral:rRNA from 1 species